GCAACAAAAGAGAAGUCUUAGGGAUAUCUACUCCGCUCAGUUCUGAAGUGCAUACCAUAUCUGAUUGAAGAAGUUGGCCGUAGUGCUAAAUUACUGAGAUAAUACCUCAACAUGGCAUCAGUAUUGAUCCUGGUGCAUGUGAGGAAGUGGUACAAUUACUCAAUCGGAUCGUGGGUACCUGCCGCAUCCUCGUUUUUCAGUUAUGAGAGGGAUGUCAAACUUAAUUCUACGCCUUCCAGAUGAGUUCCCUCUUCUCAUUCAGACUUCGCUGGGGCACCUUCUGUAGCUCAUGCAUUAUUGGAGAGCUUGUCUAACUGAUAAUAAGGUGGAGUAUGAUGUUUCUGAUGCAAAGCGUGUGCAGAGAAUGGAGGGAUUCAAGAAAUCCUCUUCCAUCACUCUCAAGAAACAGAACUUCGUGCUUCUGAGAGAGAUGCAGUUGGUCUUAUAUUCCUUAGUUCAGUGGAUAGUCAGAUCCGGCACAUAGCCGUGGAGUUAGUGCGCUGUGUUCGUGCUUUAGGAAAUUAUACAAGGGAACUCUUAUUGCAUGAACAAUCAGAUCAUAAUUUGAAAGAUGAAGCUGAAACCAUAUUCAUAAUUGAUGUUUUAGAAGAGCAUGGGGCGGGAUGAUAUUGUUCGAAGUUUUACUGGGAUUCGGGGCGUCCAUUUGAUCUGAGGCGAGAGUCUGAAUGGGUACCCCCUGAGCUUACUCUCCAGUCUAUAUAUACUCUUUGAGAGCCCGGAUAAGAACAGAUGGGCCCGCUGUCUUAGCUAGCUUGUCAAGCAUGCAGUGGAGUUGUGUCCAAGUUCUGUUCAGGAAGCAAAAUUGGAAGUUAUUCAGUGGCUUGCUCACAUAAAGCCUGCUGAGUUGGGAGGAAAGAUUGGAAGUUAUUCAGUGGCUUGCUCACAUAAAGCCUGCUGAGUUGGGAGGAAAGGUG